AAUAGAUACCCGGGUAGUCCUUGCCGUAAACGAUGUAUACUUGGUGUAACGGGACUCAACCCCCGUUGUAUCGAAGCUAACGCGAUAAGUAUACCGCCUGGGGAGUACGCUCGCAAGAGUGAAACUCAAAAGAAUUGACGGGGACCCGCACAAGCAGUGGAGCAUGUGGUUUAAUUCGAUGCAACGCGAAGAACCUUACCCAGGCUUGACAUACAGUGGAAUAGGGUGGAGACAUCCUAGCCUUUCGGGGCCGCUGUACAGGUGCUGCAUGGCUGUCGUCAGCUCGUGCCGUGAGGUGUUGGGUUAAGUCCCGCAACGAGCGCAACCCUUAUCAUUAGUUGCCAACAGGUAAAGCUGGGAACUCUAGUGAGACUGCCUAGGUUAACUAGGAGGAAGGUGAGGAUGACGUCAAGUCCGCAUGGCCCUUAUGUCUGGGGCUACACACGUGCUACAAUGGGCGGUACAGAAAGCAGCGAAGCCGCGAGGUGAAGCCAAUCUCCAAAGCCGCUCUCAGUUCAGA
rnacentral:rRNA from 1 species